AGGGGUUCUUUGAUAUGCCGAAUCUAACUGUGUAUGUAGAUUCUUAAUUUUUGGUCCCGUUUUCAAAUUGGUCUACAUUAAGGUCCAAAGGGUCCAAAAUUACACUUAGUUUGAUUUUAACAAAAAUUGAAUCCUUGGGGUUCUUUGACAUGCUGAAUCUAAACAUGUACUUAGAUUUUUGAUUAUUGGCCAAGUUUUCAAGUUGGUCCAAAUCAGGGUCCAAAAUUAAACUUUGUUUGAUUUCAUCAAAAAUUGAAUAAUUGGGGUUCUUUGAUAUGCCAAAUCUAACUGUGUAUGUAGAUUCUUCAUUUUUGGUCCCGUUUUCAAAUUGGUCUACAUUAAAGUCUGAAGGGUCCAAAAUUAAACUAAGUUUAAUUUUAACAAAAAUUGAAUUCUUGGGCUCUUUUGACAUGCUGAAUCUAAACAUGUACUUAGAUUUUUAUACGACCGCAAAAUUUGAAAAAUUUUUCGUCGUAUAUUGCUAUCACGUUGGCGUCGUCGUCGUCAUCCCAAUACUUUUAGUUUUCGCACUCUAACUUUAGUAAAAGUGAAUAGAAAUCUAUGAAAUUUUAACACAAGGUUUAUGACCACAAAAGGAAGGUUGGGAUUGAUUUGGGGGUUUUGGUCCCAACAUUUUAGGAAUUAGGGGCCAAAAAGGGCCCAAAUAAGCAUUUUCUUGGUUUUCGCACUAUAACUUUAGUUGAAGUUAAUAGAAAUCUAUGAAAUUUUGACACAAGGUUUAUGACCACAAAAAAAAGGUUGAGAUUGAUUUUGGGAGUUUUGGUUCCAACAGUUUAGGAAUUAAGGGCCAAAAAAGGGCCCAAAUAAGCAUUAUUCUUGGUUUUUGCACAAUAACUUUAGUUUAAGUAAAUAGAAAUCAAUGAAAUUUAAACACAAUGUUUAUGACCACAAAAGGAAGGUUGGUAUUGAUUUUGGGAGUUUUGGUCCCAACAGUUUAGGAAUAAAGGGCCCAAAGGGUCCAAAAUUAAACUUUGUUUGAUUUCAUCAAAAAUUGAAUAAUUGGGGUUCUUUGAUAUGCCGAAUCUAACUGUGUAUGUAGAUUCUUAAUUUUUGGUCCCAUUUUCAAAUUGGUCUACAUUAAGGUCCAAAGGGUCCAAAAUUAAACUUAGUUUGAUUUUAACAAAAAUUGAAUCCUUGGGGUUCUUUGAUAUGCUGAAUCUAAAAAUGUACUUAGAUUUCUUAUUAUUGGCCCAGUUUUCAAGUUGGUCCAAAUCGGGGUC
rnacentral:lncRNA from 1 species